UACGUAGGGUGCAAGCGUUAAUCGGAAUUACUGGGCGUAAAGCGUGCGCAGGCGGUGAUGUAAGACAGAUGUGAAAUCCCCGGGCUCAACCUGGGAACUGCAUUGUGACUGCAUCGCUGGAGUACGGCAGAGGGGGAUGGAAUUCCGCGUGUAGCAGUGAAAUGCGUAGAUAUGCGGAGGAACACCGAUGGCGAAGGCAAUCCCCUGGGCCUGUACUGACGCUCAUGCACGAAAGCGUGGGAGCAAACAGG
rnacentral:rRNA from 1 species